rnacentral:rRNA from 1 species
UAGGUGGCAAGCGUUACUCGGAAUUACUAGGCGUAAAGCGCGCGUAGGCGGAAUGUUAAGUCUGUUGUUUAAUCUCUGGGCUCAACCCAGAAACUGCAACGGAAACUGGCGUUCUUGAGUGAGGCAGAGGAGAUCGGAAUUCCUAGUGUAGCAGUGAAAUGCGUAGAUAUUAGGAGGAACACCGGUGGCGAAGGCGGAUCUCUGGGCCUUUACUGACGCUCAAGUGCGAAAGCUAGGGGAGCAAA